GUGCACCAGUCGCGAAUCUUCCACAAUGGGGAAACCCUGAUGGAGCGACGCCGCGUGCGGGAUGAAGGCCCUAUGGGUUGUAAACCGCUGUUCAGUGGAAAGAACAUCCUCCGGCUGAAUAGGUCGGAGGCCUGACGUUACCACUGCAGAAAGUCCCGGCCAACUCCGUGCCAGCAGCCGCGGUAAUACGGGGGGGACGAGCGUUGUCCGGAAUCAUUGGGCGGUAAAGGGCGGCGUAGGCGGCGAGGAAGGUCGAAUGUGAAAUCUUGCGGCUCAACUGC
rnacentral:rRNA from 1 species